rnacentral:tRNA from 1 species
GCGUGGUGUUUGCAACGCAUGGUGUUUGCAACGCCAGGGUUGUGGGUUCGAUUCCCAC